rnacentral:rRNA from 1 species
CGCUGGCGGCAGGCCUAACACAUGCGAGUCGAGCGGAAACUAGUUAUCUGAACCUUCGGGGAACGAUACCGUCGACCUCCGGGGAACGGGUGAGUAAUGCCUAGGAAAUUGCCCUGGUGUGGGGGAUAACCAUUGGAAACGAUGGCUAAUACCGCAUAAUACCUUCGGGUCAAAGAGGGGGACCUUCGGGCCUCUCGCGUCAGGAUAUGCCUAGGUGGGAUUAGCUAGUUGGUGAGGUAAUGGCUCACCAAGGCGACGAUCCCUAGCUGGUCUGAGAGGAUGAUCAGCCACACUGGAACUGAGACACGGUCCAGACUCCUACGGGAGGCAGCAGUGGGGAAUAUUGCACAAUGGGCGCAAGCCUGAUGCAGCCAUGCCGCGUGUGUGAAGAAGGCCUUCGGGUUGUAAAGCACUUUCAGUCGUGAGGAAGGUAGUGUAGUUAAUAGCUGCAUUAUUUGACGUUAGCGACAGAAGAAGCACCGGCUAACUCCGUGCCAGCAGCCGCGGUAAUACGGAGGGUGCGAGCGUUAAUCGGAAUUACUGGGCGUAAAGCGCAUGCAGGUGGUUUGUUAAGUCAGAUGUGAAAUCCCCGGGCUCAACCUGGGAACUGCAU